AGCUAUGGAAAAUGUCAUGCUUCAUAAAAGAUACAGAAAGAUGGGUGAAACCAGAAAAAAAAACAUUGUUACUAAAAUUGAAGAUUGCAUUGGGAACUCAGAGAAGAAGAAAGUAUAAAAGAAACAUGAAAAGAACUGUAUCUUAAUAAUAAAAACACCAACAUGCACAAUCUAGACCUCACCCUUCCUACUGCUGUGACCCUUUAAUACAGUUCCUCUUGCUGUGCUGACCCCAACCAUAUGACUAAAAAAUAAAAAUACAUCUGUUUUUUUCUCCAGGAAACCAUCUGAAGCACAAAUGAGCAUCAACAGCCCCAGCCUUCUGGAUGGCGACAGUGCAGGCAAAAAAGUCAUGUGGGUAUCCCAGUUCAUGGAAAUUUACUAAUUGCAGAAUCCUGUCGGAAAGCUGUGUGAUACAGCAAUGGGAUGGCCAUGGCUAUUUUCACUUGAAGUUAGUGAGAAGUGCAAAGGCCUUGAUGAAGGUAAGAUGCCUUGGUCUCCUUGACUGGACCGUGCCAGUUGAUACCGUGAGUACUUGGAUUAGUGCCUCACACUCGAAAGGCCAUAAAUGGCAGUUAUUACUACAGAAACAUUUGCAAUAAACACAGGCUUAUGAGGGUGGUGGCGGAGCUGGUCAUGACUGGCUUUCUGUAUGGUAGCAGUUUAUUUUGAUCACCUACAGUUUGCCA
rnacentral:lncRNA from 1 species